AAUGAACGUUGGCGGCGUGGAUUAGGCAUGCAAGUCGAGCGCUCAUAGCAAUAUGGGAGCGGCGAACGGCGUAGUAAUGCAUCGGAACGUACCCUUCGGUCGGGGAUAGCCACGGGAAACUGUGGGUAAUACCCGAUGAUAUCUGCGGAUCAAAGGUGAGAUUCCGCCGGAGGAGCGGCUGAUGUGAUAUUAGCUUGAUGGUGGGGUAAUGGCCUACCAUGGCGAUGAUGUCUAGGGGGUGUGAGAGCAUGGCCCCCACGACCGGAACUGAGACACUGUCCGGACACCUACGGGUGGCCGCAGUCGAGAAUCUUCCGCAAUGGACGAAAGUCUGACGGAGCGACGCCGCGCGCGGGAUGAAGGCCCUUGGGUUGUAAACCGCUGUCAGAGGGGAUGAAAUCUCCGGGGGUACUCCCCCGGACGUUGACAGAGCCUCAAAGGAAGCACGGGCUAAGUACGUGCCAGCAGCCGCGGUAAAGU
rnacentral:rRNA from 1 species